UACGAAGGGGGCUAGCGUUGCUCGGAAUCACUGGGCGUAAAGCGCACGCAGGCGGAUUGAUAAGUCGGGGGUGAAAUCCCCGGGCUCAACCCGGGAACUGCGUCCGAUACUGGGAGGCUUGAAUCCGGGAGAGGGAUGUGGAAUUCCAGGUGUAGCGGUGAAAUGCGUAGAUAUCUGGAGGAACACCGGUGGCGAAGGCGGCCUUCUGGACAAUGACUGACGCUGAGACGCGAAAGCGUGGGGAGCAAACAGG
rnacentral:rRNA from 1 species